ACAGCAGAACACAAAAGAAAGUAAAACCAAGUAAACAAAUUGACUCAGAAAUGCAAGUCCACACUUCACAUCCCAACUGCCCAUUCACAUCUCAGAUCAAACAAAACAUUCACCUAUUGUUAAAAGAAAAAAUCACCCGCAAAUUCAGACACCAGAGAACCUGUCUUCGUUCAUAGAUCUAAAAACAAAUCCUUCAUUUAAUGUAAACCUCUCUGGGUCGGUUGUAAUAGUAGUAAAGCACAAAACUUUCUGCUUUUUUAAGAUUUUGCACACUCUUUAAAGUGCAUCAGCAGCCAAGAAAAUUUUUGCAGGGAGCAAAAAGAUGGGGUUCACUAUGGGUCUAAACUUGCUUCUGUUAGUAGCAAUGGUAGCUACCAACAUUCUUUCUUUGUAUCACCUCUCUUCCAAUCUCCAAUCCAAGCCCCCUGUUGCUCCUCCUGUUCCUGACCAUCUUCUUCACCAGCUUCAAACCAUACGCGCCACCAUUAACCACCUCACGCGCCUCCAGCCUCCUGCUCCUCCAGCUGCUGCUACCAAGAAAUCUACACUCUCCAUCCCUUCUGACCUCCUCCUUUACACCCAUCUUUCACCUAUAGCUUCUUCUUGUAAAGACCAUCCUGAUUUGCUUUACCAGUACAUGAACUAUACACCCUUUAGUCUUUGCCCCUCAGAUUCUUCAGUAGCUGAGUCUCUUAUACUCAGAGGUUGCCACCCUCUUCCUAGGAGAAGAUGUUUUUCAAAAACCCCUUCUAGUAUCCCAACUUCACUUCCUAAAACCCCAUUUUCUACCCUCCCUGAAAAGGCCUUGUUGUGGAACAGUUACACUUGCAAAAGUUUUACUUGUCUGUCUCAGAAAAAUCCCAACUUGGGAUUUGAUAUGAAAGUUGAGGGAUCAAGAUUCUUGGGUUUUAAAUCAGAUCUGGAUCUCCCAAUCCCACAGUUUCUCCAGCUUACUAAGUCCUCAAAAAGUGUGAUUAGGCUGGCACUUGAUAUUGGUGGUGGUACAGGAACUUUUGCAGCACAAAUGAAGCUGCAAAAUGUUACUGUUGUGACCACAACUAUGAAUUUGGGUGCCCCUUAUAGUGAGGCUGUGGCGCUUAGGGGAUUGUUGCCAUUACAUGUGCCUUUGCAGCAGAGGCUGCCUGUGUUUGAUGGGGUUGUGGAUCUUGUGAGAUGUGGCCAUGCUGUGAAUAGGUGGAUUCCAUUGACAAUGAUGGAGUUCUUGUUCUUUGAUGUUGAUAGAGUGUUGAGAGGUGGUGGGUAUUUAUGGUUGGACCAUUUCUUUAGUAAAAAGGCGGAUCUUGAGAAGGUUUUCCAACCCCUGAUUUGGAAAUUGAACUACAGGAAGGUGAAGUGGGCUGUAGCAAAUAAGAAUGAUGCCAGUGGUGUGAAGAAUGGGGAGGUUUAUUUGACAGCUCUUCUUCAGAAGCCUGUUUCAAGAUGAGACUCUACUCCAGAUUUUCAGUAAACAUCUUUUUUCAGCAAGAACCGGUAUCCUCUCUAGUACAUUUCCUAUGAACUUGGCCUUAGAUGGGGAGACUGGCUGCUAGAAGUGGCAUAUAUCAGUUUUGCAGAUAUCAUUGCUAGAUAUUGAUGAUUAGUUGAUGGAAAAUGCUAUGUUGUGUCAAGAUUUCCCAGGACGGAUAAUUCAAGAUCCUCUUUUUUCUCAAGGUGAAGAAAUGUAAUUAGUCUGCAUUCAGAGUAAGAAAAUUUUUAAGGAUCUAAAAGAUAGAAAUCUGUGCACUACAUAAAUACAAUCUGCGGCAAAGAACAGCAGCGGUAAUAGACAGCGGUUUUACCAAGGAGCAACAACAUUUAGUUACUUCCCUUCAUUCAUUUGUCAGUUUUCUGUAACCUUAACUGGUUUUGAAACAGCUUGAAGUUUCAAAAUGAUUAUUGGAACUGUAAAGAUAUUGCAGGAAUGUGAAAAUUAAAGAACUGCAAUCCCAUUCUGUCAUCUAAAGAUUGAUGCUAGUAUGACAAUUGGAUUGCUGAGGUCUUUGCUUCUUUCAUUACUUCAACUAUUAAUUAAUGGAUUUCCUGGCUUUUCUGCUUUA